GACGAACCGUGCGAACGUUGUUCGGAAUCACUGGGCUUAAAGGGCGCGUAGGCGGCUCCGCCAGUCGGGGGUGAAAUCCCACGGCCUAACCGUGGAAGUGCCUCCGAUACUGCGGGGCUGGAGGGAGGUAGGGGCAGCGGGAACUUCGGGUGGAGCGGUGAAAUGCGUUGAUAUCCGAAGGAACGCCGGUGGCGAAAGCGCGCUGCUGGACCUCUUCUGACGCUGAGGCGCGAAAGCCAGGGGAGCGAACGGG
rnacentral:rRNA from 1 species